UACAGAGGUCUCAACCGUUGUUCGGAUUCAUUGGGCGUAAAGGGUGCGUAGGCGGUCGCGCAAGUCGGAUGUGAAAUCUCAGGGCUCAACCCUGAACUGCAUUCGAUACUGCGUGGCUAGAGUGCUGGAGAGGAGACUGGAAUUUACGGUGUAGCAGUGAAAUGCGUAGAUAUCGUAAGGAAGACCAGUGGCGAAGGCGAGUCUCUGGACAGCAACUGACGCUGAGGCACGAAGGCCAGGGGAGCAAACGGG
rnacentral:rRNA from 1 species